rnacentral:misc_RNA from 1 species
GCUUUUGGCUUUCCAUUCCACUAAUAUUUCUAUUAAGUGCGUUUACUAUAAGAAAAAAGCAUCUGGCUGGAAACUACAAACUGUUUCAUUUAAUUUUAAGAAUAAAAUUAACACAAUUUCUCUGCAAAACAAUAACCUAAUCCCCAGCCUAUCCAUACUACCAACACUGAAGAAAAGAGCCAAAAUUCCAUCUCUUAUUUACUCAUCAUCAUCAUCCUCAACAGCAGAGUUGAGUGCCGUCAACCUCUCAACAAACUUGGCCUUUCUUUCCUCGUAGGUCAUCUUCUUUAAGUUGUAUCUUUUAUGCUGAUUUGGAGGCUGCUUCUCCGCCUUCUUUGCUGUGGGAUCUGCACGUAUGGCAGCAUGAACUUUCUUGUACACCUCUUCCAUGUUAUCAGCUUCAAUGCCUUUCUUUAUGUACUCACUGAAGUGAGUCUGGAACUUCUCUAGUUCAUCUUCCAUCAACAUCCUCAUGUAUGCGGCAACAUGGCCGCCAUAGAUGUACUUCCGAUGGAGUUCGGCAUCAAGCUGCUUGCUCUCCUUGUUGAAUCCUGCAAAACUCUUGUCACUGUGAGGAAUAUCAAGUCCACCAUCCAAAGCUCCCUAAUCAAAGAAGAAAGCAGUUUCUUGUUACCAUUGCCAUCAUGGAGUGAGAAAGCUCAACAGAAAAGCAUGUUUUAAGGAGAACAUUAGAAUACCUUAAGAGCACCGAAAACACGAUUCCCAGUUGUUGUCCUCACAAGUCCAACAUCAAGGAGAGCACGAAAAGGCCUCCUGCUCCCAGCUGUUUCAACAGAAAAAUCUUCUCCAGUUCCCUGUACAUAGAAUGAGUUGCAUAUUUACACAUCCACACAAGGAAUGCUACCCAACUCGCACUAAUGCAUUUACACUACAAAUAAACCACAUACCUGAACAUUUCCCUCGUACUCCUCAUCCAUCUGAAGCAUUUUCAAUACUCAUCGAGCCAAUAGAACUCCAGUGCAGUAAGCUAGAUUUAUGGUAAUAGCAAUUAGAACAUCCGCAUUUAAGAGGCAAAUACUUUCAAAGUUCCAACAAAAAGUGAAUGUCAUACCAGGAGGUUUAUAUCCAUAGCUAUGAAUGAAAGAUGGAAGAUCUUGAGGUUGAAGAGGAGGCAAUCCAGGAGCCAAUAAGGUUUCAUUCUCGCUAAGGGGAAGUUUGAUCAGCCCUCGAGAAACAUGAUAAUAUAUAAUAUCAACAGCACAAGAUUGAGUG